rnacentral:lncRNA from 1 species
GCGCCCACAUGGAUAACGGGAGAAUACAGUUCAAGUUUUGGAAAUCAGGCGCCCACCUGGAUAACGAGGGAAUGCAAUUCAAGUUUUAGAAAUCAGGCGCCCACCUGGAUAACGAGGGAAUACAAUACGAGUUUUAACAAUUAGGUAUCCACCUGGAUAACGAGGGAAUACAAUUCAAGUUUUAGAAAUCAGGCACCCACCUGGAUAACGAGGGAAUACAAUUCAAGUUUUAGCAAUCAGGCGCCCACCUGGAUAACGAGGGAAUACAAUUCAAGUUUUUACAAUCAGGCGCCCACCUGGAUAACGAGGGAAUACAAUUCAAGUUUUAGGUAAUCAGACGCCCACCUGGAUAACGAGGGAAUACAAUUCAAGUUUUAGCAAUCAGGCACCCACCUGGAUAACGAGGGAAUACAAUUCAAGUUUUAGCAAUCAAGCGCCCACCUGGAUAACGAGGGAAUACAAUUCAAGUUUUAGCAAUCAGGCACCCACCUGGAUAACGAGGGAAUACAAUUCAAGUUUUAGCAAUCAGGCGCCCACCUGGAUAACGAGGGAAUACAAUUCAAGU